UUAUUGGGGGAAAAAUUAGUAUAAAAUAAAGAUAAUAAAAUUAAUUUUAAAUAAAAUAUUUUGGGGGGUUAAAGUAUUUUAUAAAGAAAAAAUUUUUUAAUUUAUAGUAAAUUAGUAUUGUGAAAGAAUUUUUAAAUAUGUGAAAUAAAAAUUUUUUUAAAAGUAAAUUUUAUUUAUUGUAUCUUGUGUAUCAGAGUUUAUUAAUAAAUUAUUUUAAAUAAAAUUUUCUCGAAUUUAAAAGAGUUAAUUAAUUAAUAAAUUUAUUGUAGCAAAAAUAUUUUUAAUAUUUAAUUAGAAAUGAAAUGUUAAUCGUUUUUAAAUAUAUCUAGUUUUUUUAGAAAAAAAUUUAAUUUUAAAUUAAUUUAAUUAAAAAUUUAAUUAAUAAAAUUUUUAAAAAUUAACUUUAAUAUUUUAAGGGAUAAGCUUUAAUUUAAAUUUUUAUAAUAAAAAUUAAUUUUAUAUGAAAAUUUUAAAAUUUAUAUUGUUUAAAAAUUAUAAUUUUUUAUAAAUAAUUUCAAAAAAAAAUAAAAUUUAAAUAAAAUUUAAUUUUUUAUAAAAAAAUAAAAUUUAAUAAAUUAAUUUUAUAUAUAAUGAUAAAAUUAGUAUAAAUAAUUUAAUAAAAAAAAUUUUUUAUUUAAAAAUUAAUAAUAAGGAAUUCGGCAAAUAUUUAUAUUCACUUGUUUAUCAAAAACAUGUCUUUUUGAUUAAUAAUUUAAAGUCUAAUCUGCCCACUGAUAUAAUUAAAGGGCUGCAGUAAUUUGACUGUACAAAGGUAGCAUAAUCAUUAGUCUCUUAAUUGGUGACUUGUAUGAAAGAUUGGAUGAAAUAUAUACUGUCUUAUUGUUAUAUUUAGAAUUUAAUUUUUUAAUAAAAAAGUUAAAAUAAAUUUAAAAGACGAGAAGACCCUAUAGAGUUUUAUAUAAAAAAUAAUUAAUAAUUUUUUUUUUAUAAAUUUUAAAUUUAAAUUAUUUUUUAUAUUUUAUUGGGGUGAUAGAAAAAUAGAAAUAACUUUUUUUAUUAUAAUAUAUAUAUAUAUAUAUAUAUAUAUAUAUAUACAUAAAUAAAUGAAAUGAUGAUCCAAAAAUUUUUGAUUAUAAGAUUAAAUUACCUUAGGGAUAACAGCGUAAUUUUUUUUUUUAGUUCGAAUAAAAAAAAAAGUUUGCGACCUCGAUGUUGGAUUAAGAUAAAAUUUAAAAGCAAAAUUUUAAAAUUUUGAUCUGUUCGAUCAUUAAAAUCUUACAUGAUCUGAGUUCAAACCGGUGUAAGCCAGGUUGGUUUCCAUCUUUAAAAAUUUAAAAUAUUUUAGUACGAAAGGAUUAAAUAUUUAAAAUAAUUUUAAUUAUUUGAAUAUUAAUAAUAUAUGCAUUUAAAAUUUUAAGUUAAUAUAGGUAUAUAUAUAUAUAUAUAUAUAUAUAUAGUUA
rnacentral:rRNA from 1 species